rnacentral:rRNA from 1 species
AGCAUAAUGGAUAGCAAUAUCUAUGGUGGCGACCGGCGCACGGGUGCGUAACGCGUAUGCAACCUACCUUUAACAGGGGGAUAACACUGAGAAAUUGGUACUAAUACCCCAUAAUAUCAUAGAAGGCAUCUUUUAUGGUUGAAAAUUCCGAUGGUUAUGGAUGGGCAUGCGUUGUAUUAGCUGGUUGGUGAGGUAACGGCUCACCAAGGCAACGAUACAUAGGGGGACUGAGAGGUUAACCCCACAUUGGUACUGAGACACGGACCAAACUCC